rnacentral:rRNA from 1 species
AUUGAACGCUGGCGGCAUGCCUUACACAUGCAAGUCGAACGGUAACAGGUCUUCGGAUGCUGAAGAGUGGCGAACGGGUGAGUAAUACAUCGGAACGUGCCCGAUCGUGGGGGAUAACGAGGCGAAAGCUUUGCUAAUACCUCAUACGAUCUACGGAUGAAAGCGGGGGAGCUUCGGACCUCGCGCGGACGGAGCGGCCGAUGGCAGAUUAGGUAGUUGGUGGGAUAAAAGCUUACCAAGCCGACGAUCUGUAGCUGGUCUGAGAGGAUGAUGCGCCACACUGGGACUGAGACACGGCCCAGACUCCUACGGGAGGCAGCAGUGGGGAAUUUUGGACAAUGGGCGAAAGCCUGAUCCAGCCAUGCCGCGUGCAGGAUGAAGGCCUUAGGGUUGUAAACUGCUUUUGUACGGAACGAAGAGCCUCUUUCUAAUACAGAGGGAUAAUGACGGUACCGUAAGAAUAAGCACCGGCUAACUACGUG